AGUAGGAUGCAGCAUAAUGAAGGCAUUCAAUAAGAGCUUGUGGUAUGAGCCAUAACGAUUUUCUCUUCCUUCCAUUUCCGGGCCUGUUUUCAACAUUGUUGGAAACUGGAAAUUUCAAAUCUCUUUCCAGGAAGGGUCAACUGGACAGAGAAAAAAGGACAUUGAACGAAGACACUCUGAAUUCAAAGGACAGAGAACAAAGACCCUGGCUUAUUUGGAAAUCAACCUCCUUCCCUAAUCUGCCAUGUAUUUGAUAUCUAUCGUUAUUGGUAUUUUAAAUAUAAGGACGUUUUAAAUAUGACCUCAAAUUCUUUGACAAUGCUUCCUCUUGAAUGUGGGCUGGUCCUAAUGACUAGCUUCCAAUGAGUAGAAAUUGCAGAAAUGAUGUGUUAAUUUUGAGGCUACAUCAUAAAAGACAAAGAUAAUGCAGCUUCCAUCUCCGUCCCUCUUCCAUCUUGCUCUGUAGGAAGCCAGCUUCCAUUUUGUAAGGACAUUCCAAUAGCCUAAGAAGCAAUGCCCAUGGUUAGGAACCGAAAUCUCCUGCCAAAUGACAAAUGAGUGACCAUCUCAGG
rnacentral:lncRNA from 10 species